AUGGACUACUCAAAUUUGCGUCGCCAAAUUACCUUCAUGAAGAAAAGUUUCUUUGAUCAGGGUUACCUUGAUGAACAGUUCAAUCAGCUGGAAGAACUGCAGGACGAAUCAAGCCCCAAUUUCGUUGAGGAAGUUGUGGCUUUGUUUCUGAAAGAUUCGCCGAGAUUGUUGUCAAACAUAGAACAAACAAUUGGGAAGUACCCUCAGGAUUUCUACCGGUUAGAUUCUCUUGUGCACCAGCUCAAAGGCAGCGGAUCCAGCAUUGGAGCAGUGAGGAUGAAGAACGAGUGCUCGGUGUUUAAGGCACACUGCAAUGACAGGAAUCUGGAAGGUGUGUCCAUGGUUGUGCAUCAGAUGCCGCAGGUCACUGCAGAAGAUGAAGAGGGAGCAUGCCACUCUGAAGCAGAAGCUGGAGUCAUAUUUUCAGUUACUGCGGCAAGUCGGGCCUCGCGAGCAUGCCGUGAACUCAAGGAAGUAAGAAGAUAG
rnacentral:rRNA from 1 species